rnacentral:rRNA from 1 species
UACCAGCACCCCGAGUGGUCGGGACGAUUAUUGGGCCUAAAGCAUCCGUAGCCGGUUCUGCAAGUCCCCCGUUAAAUCCAGCUGCUCAACAGAUGGGCCGCGGAGGAUACUACAGAGCUAGGAGGCGGGAGAGGCAAGCGGUACUCAGUGGGUAGGGGUAAAAUCCGUUGAUCCAUUGAAGACCACCAGUGGCGAAGGCGGCUUGCCAGAACGCGCUCGACGGUGAGGGAUGAAAGCUGGGGGAGCAAACCGG